CUUGCUUUGACAGGACAUCCUAAAAUGCAACAAUAUGGAGAUUAGCAAUGUCCCUGUACAAGAAAGAUGCGAAGAUCUAUGAAGCACUCAUAUUUUUC
rnacentral:snRNA from 1 species